rnacentral:rRNA from 1 species
AACGUAGGAGGCGAGCGUUAUCCGGAGUUACUGGGCGUAAAGCGCGCGCAGGCGGCUGUGUAAGUGAGGUGUGAAAUCUCUCAGCUCAACUGGGAGGGCGCGCCUCAGACUGCAGAGCUAGAGUGGGAUAGAGGGACGUGGAAUUCCGGGUGGAGCGGUGAAAUGUGUAGAGAUCCGGAGGAACACCAGAGGCGCAAGCGGCGUCCUGGGUCCCAACUGACGCUGAGGCGCGAAAGCUUGGGGAGCGAACGGG